rnacentral:rRNA from 1 species
UUAUUAGAACAUAUCAUUAACAUUGUAUACAUGUGAAUUAAAGUCCAAGACUGGUUACUGAAGCUAAGCAGGACUGGGCCUGGUCAGUACCUGGAUGGGAGACCAUAUGGGAAAGCUAGAUUUCUGUUAGA